AGCGGACGCUGGCGGCAGGCCUAACACAUGCAAGUCGAACGAACUCUUCGGAGUUAGUGGCGGACGGGUGAGUAACACGUGGGAACGUGCCUUUUGGUUCGGAAUAACUCAGGGAAACUUGUGCUAAUACCGAAUGUGCCCUUCGGGGGAAAGAUUUAUCGCCAUUAGAGCGGCCCGCGUCUGAUUAGCUAGUUGGUGAGGUAACGGCUCACCAAGGCGACGAUCAGUAGCUGGUCUGAGAGGAUGACCAGCCACACUGGGACUGAGACACGGCCCAGACUCCUACGGGAGGCAGCAGUGGGGAAUCUUGCGCAAUGGGCGAAAGCCUGACGCAGCCAUGCCGCGUGAAUGAUGAAGGUCUUAGGAUUGUAAAAUUCUUUCACCGGGGACGAUAAUGACGGUACCCGGAGAAGAAGCCCCAGCUAACUUCGUG
rnacentral:rRNA from 1 species